AAUGUCUGGCAAGCUGAUUCACUGGAGCCCUUAGCAGCACUGCCCAGCACUUUGCCCAGGCUGCAGAGCCCCUUUGUCACGUGCCUUCUGGGGACGUGAGUGGCUGUCCCCACACUGGCGUUCCACGUGUCUGUGUUUCUCUCCAGCUGUGGGCUGGGAGACAUCCAAUCCCAGCUCAGAGAGGUUGAGUCCAGCCCUUGCCACACACCCGAAUGUGCCGUGCACCAGCCCAGGAAUGACCAGGGCACGUGCCCCUUACAGGGUGUGCGCAGCAGGCUGCACGGGUUCCUCGUGGGCCUAGCCUGAGCUCCAGCACCGCCCGGUCAUCGCAGGAAAAGGUUGAGGCAGGUUGUUUGCACCUUGAGUCCUCAGACACGCUGGCUCAGCCAGGGCUGAAAUAGCCUAGGAGUGUGGCCUUGAAGGAUGGAAUGACAACAGGACAUGGAUGUGAGGAGGACCUGAGGCAAAGCUCCAGAUGGACAAGAGCAGGGAUCACCGCAGUACAGGCCGGGAGCCUGCUCGCAUGGAACUCCUCACUCUGGGAGAGAGAAGUGGCACCUAGAGGACCCUAAACUUCUACUUCUCAAAAUCUGUCUCUGUCACCAGCCAAUAGACAAAGGCAGGGGUUCCCGACGCUCUCAAGACACCCCGAUUUCCAUCCCCUGAAUUCAGUGGCCUCUGAAUUCCAGGUGGUUUUCCCAGGCAGGUCUGUGCCCAAGGCCCCUGUGCCAGCGGGGGACCUGCUGCAGAGCCAGCCCUGCCUGCCCCACCCCACCCCACCCCAGCUCUUCCUGGCUGCUCUUUCCUGCCGCGCCAAGGUGGAGCCAGCCGCCCUCCCCCACACAGCCCUCUGUGACUCAGUGGAAGCUGGUGGCCACUUCCCCCACCCCACCCACACUCACAUUCCAACGGCCAGCUCACUGGCUUCUUGGCACCCGACCCGCGGCCCCCAGGCCUCUGCCUAGAGUAAACAGUCCCUCUCUUUAUGGACGAUUUACGACCAGGGCCGGCCCAGUAUGGGAAGGGGCCACAUGUAUCUUACCCUCUGAGCACAGCCUUCCUCUGCACUACCAAGCCUGACCUUCGUGGAUCCUUCCUUGUGACCCCUGGCUGGCCUGGGAUGUUUUGUUUAAAGGAAUUUGAGACCUUCCCAUCAUUGUUGGGCCUAGCACUGUCCUGACUCAG